UACUGUAAGCGAAUUCCAUCCAAGCUUCUACUGUAAAUGAAUUCCUUCUGAACUUCUAUUACAGGCGGACUUCAGUCGAGCUUUUUCAAUAAGCGGUCCCCAUCCGGACUUCUACAAGAACUGGACUCCGUCUGAACUUUCAUAGCGGAUGGAUUCUAGAUGAACUUCUACAAUGGAUGGGCUCCAGUAGUCAGAUUUCUAUAAUGGCCGACCAUCUCC
rnacentral:lncRNA from 1 species